AUGCCCCUGGACUUCACCAAGCACUUCGUCGUGGUACCAACGGAGUUCAAGCUCAGGAACAACACCGACUGCUCCUGGAAGGUGACGGUCAAGCUGAUGAACGGUAGGGUGACCCUGGAUCAGGGUUGGGCCACCCACGCAGCCGUUCAUCAGAUCAAGAUUGGCUACAUGGUGACGUUCAAGCUUCUCACUCCCGACACCCUCAAGGUCAUCUUCGAUAACGAUGGUAUUGAGGUCGUCAACAAGUGCGGGAAGCACAACGAAGCCUUCGCCGCCAAUGAGUAG
rnacentral:rRNA from 1 species